AUUGAACGCUGGCGGCAGGCUUAACACAUGCAAGUCGAGCGGAGAGAGGUAGCUUGCUACUGAUCUUAGCGGCGGACGGGUGAGUAAUGCCUAGGAAUCUGCCUAUUAGUGGGGGACAACAUUUCGAAAGGAAUGCUAAUACCGCAUACGUCCUACGGGAGAAAGCAGGGGAUCUUCGGACCUUGCGCUAAUAGAUGAGCCUAAGUCGGAUUAGCUAGUUGGUGGGGUAAAGGCCUACCAAGGCGACGAUCUGUAGCGGGUCUGAGAGGAUGAUCCGCCACACUGGGACUGAGACACGGCCCAGACUCCUACGGGAGGCAGCAGUGGGGAAUAUUGGACAAUGGGCGCAAGCCUGAUCCAGCCAUGCCGCGUGUGUGAAGAAGGCCUUAUGGUUGUAAAGCACUUUAAGCGAGGAGGAGGCUACUUUAGUUAAUACCUAGAGAUAGUGGACGUUACUCGCAGAAUAAGCACCGGCUAACUCUGUGCCAGCCGCCGCUGUAACAC
rnacentral:rRNA from 1 species